AGUGCUGUUGGGACUGUGGGCACCUGGAGGGCAGGCUGGACCCAGCUCAUCACUGACCCUCAGGGAGCACUGGGCGCCCCAGAAAACCUAUGGGACCAGCCAAGGCCUGGUCUCCUGGACAGCCAGGGAGUGAGCCCAAUGACACAUAUUAGAAGUGUGGCCCAAAAGAGGUUUAUUACCCCCCUCCCAGGCCACCCCUGCCCCCAAUAAUUACAAAAGUAAGAAAAAUCCCCAUAUGCCCCCAUCCCAUCCCUUCCAGAAAAACGCCAUAAUUUAUUCAGGUAAGACACAGUCCAAGGCAGCUGGUGGCCUCAGCCCAUCUUCUUCCAGAUGGUGAGCGAGGCGGUGAGUACCCCAGCGACGAAGAUGGUCACUGUCUGCCACGUGGGUGUCCCAAAGUAGGAGAGGAGGCCAUCCUGGGGACAGGGACAUCAGUCAGCCAUUCCGCCCAGCAGUCGCUCUCGAAGGAAGUCCAGUGUCCAGCCCAUGAUGGUCCUGAUCAGCUCGGGCACCUUGGUGCACAGGGCCUGCAGCGAGUGAGGGCUGCUACAAGGGUUAAGGUCAGGAUUCCCAGGUCUCAGGGUUCUGUGGGCGCCUCCCUGGGCUCACCACCCUGCAGCGGCCCACCUUGAGCACCAAUUUGCUGGCAAAGUAGAAAAGGGCGACAACCCGGCCCCAGUUGAAGUUGCCGUCAGAAAACAUCUCAGCUGCCACUCGGAAGAAGACCUCUCGGGGGGAGUCUGUAUCCACUGCUGCGAUCAUCCUGUGGAAAAGCAAGCUGGAGGUGGGAAGGGCGGAUCCUGCAGAGUGUGGAAACCCUGCUAGCCACCUCAUCCCCAAGACAAGGUAAAUGAGGCCCUGGCCAGGCUGAAAUGAAAAGCAAGGGGUCAACGUGGAGGCAGGGGAAAAGAUGGACAUUUAGGGGAGAGAGGAAAUUAACUCCUUAAGGAAGGUUUCAAGAUACCACGGGAGGGAAAAGCCCAGACCUGGAGACCGGGGAAGAGAAGGAACAAGUAUAGUGGGUCUGAACUGCAGGCACCUAG